GAUGGGAAGGAUGGAAGCGAUGGAAAACAAGGCUUGGUUGGUCCCCGAGGCACUCCAAAGCAAAAUGGAAAAGAUGGGGCUUCCGGACAAUAUGGGCAGCCUGACCAGUACGGAACGGACGGCAAAGACGGGCAAAGUGGCACUCCUGGCCCGGAUGUGACGGCACAGGGGGUCAAGCAGGAACAGGUGGUCCUCCUGGUAUUCCUGGACUGAUUGGAAUUCCAGGUGUUUAUGGCACAGCAGGAGUGCCUGGAAUACCGGGAGAGCCGGGUGAACCAGGCCCUACUGGGUCGGCGGGCGGAGCAGGUGCGGCAGGGACCGCUUGAACAGCAGGUGCAGCAGGGACUCCUGGAAGUCCAGGAUCAGGCGGAGCUCCAGGUGCACAAGGAGGCUAAAUUUGAUUGAAGUUAAAAAUUUUACUUCAAUCACGUAAUUAAAUUAUUUGACAAUAACUUCCAUCUAUUAAUAAUUCAAUAACUCGCCAUGGCCAAAUAAUGUUAGCAAAAAUUCCAAUUUGUAAUUCAAAUGAGAUUAUCGCCAGUAAACGAUCGUUUGUUCCAUUGCAAAUAAUAACCCCACAAAGAAUAUUAC